UGUUCCGUCCAUUAUCAAGGAGUACUGCAGUACAGGUAAAGCAUGGAUGUUUUUAGCUAUUUGUCUGAUAAUGGCGUUGCUCAUUAACUGCAGUAUCUCAUUCUGACACUCAGGACUUGUGUAGGCAUGGUUUCUCAGCAACCAGCUUGCCAGUUUUGGGUCACUCUCAGCCUUCUCCUCCAGAUGCUGCUUGAAGUUUCCCUCAUCAUUGUCAUGGCCUCUGAGAGCUAAUCCCUGUCUAGCAAGCAACAAUGUGUGCCUUACUGUUGGUGUGCUUGUCGAACGCCUCCCUACCCUUCUUCCAGUUCCUGAACCCCAAGGAAAUGAAGCUCCCGGUCCCUGCACUUCUUUGUUUUGUUCUGUUGCACUUGGUUCCUUUUCCUGAUGACAGAUGGUUCAUAAAUAAAACAAACAUUUAUUGGCACUUGUGUUUGGUUUUUAUUUAACGUUUUAGCAUAGAUUUGGGGUAAAUCGUACUUGUUUUUUGCAUAGUUUUAGGGUAUAUUCUGUUUUUUCUUAUGAAUAGUAUGGAUAAUCAUAUAGGGACAUCUAGUGGUAAAUCCGCAGAUUUCAAACGUGUGAAAAACGCAAUUUGGUAUCUAGUCGUUUGAUUUGUCGACUGUCAGCCACUGUAGAAACAUGGCGUUGUAAAAUGACAAGAGUCUGCAUUCCCAUGGUGGCGCAUACAGAUCGAACAUUGUGAAAUGAGAGAACGUGAACUUGGAAGGCUAGCUUUUAUGACUUCUAGUACUUGCGAAGGCUAACGCAAUAUCAUGGAAUUAACUUGAGAUAUAUAUGGAACAGGAACACUAGAAACAAUCGCUACUGUACAAAAGGUAUUCCACUCAACCAAUAAAAGUGGAAGACAAAUUUGUAGUAGGCAAAGCAUAGACUAGCUAA